ACACGCAAGCGGGGAGACCUCCAAGGCAGCGAGGCAUCGGACAUGUGUCAGCACAUCUGGGGCGCACAUCCGUCGAGCCCGAGGGGAGAUUUGCCGGAACAAUUCAAACUGCGAUAUUGAUCUUGGGGGUGACUGUCCCUGGCCGGCUGUCGGGUGGGAGUGCGAGUGUGCACUCGCUCGGAAGUGUGUGCGCGUGUGUAUGUGUGUGUGCCGUGGCGGGCCCCCCCCUUCCCCCCCUGUUUUCCCGUCGAGUGAUGCACUUGGAAUGAGAAUCAGAGGAUGGAAAUAGUCUGGGAGGUGCUUUUUCUUCUUCAAGCCAAUUUCAUCGUCUGCAUAUCAGCUCAACAGAAUUCACCAAAAAUCCAUGAAGGCUGGUGGGCGUACAAGGAGGUGGUCCAGGGAAGCUUUGUUCCAGGACUGUCAGCAAGUUACCUACACACCUCAGCUCCCUGGGUUCUUCAUCUGUAAAAUGGAGAUAAGAACUAAAUCAGCCUUGUGAGUUCCUUCUUUCUGGGGAUUGGUGAACUCAGCUUGGAAUCUUUGCUCUGUGGGGAAACGGCAGUCGCCAG
rnacentral:sRNA from 1 species